CUGAUCGUCACCAAACUGGAAUGAAGCAAUCAUAACUGUAGUCAGCCGUAUAAGAACUGUGUCUCUCUGACACAGACCUGCAUCACUCACAGCCACUGAGACAGUCAAGAUGAAGUUGCUGCUUGUUGUUGCUGCUGUUCUGGCUGUAUCCAGCAGUGCCAGCAUCUCUCUGGACGAUCUGGACUUUCAUACCUGGAAACCCAGGUUUGAGAAUUGAGCCAACUGACUCAUUAAUCCCUGGCUUCACCUUAGGAGCUCUGUUUUUAAGGAGACCUGUUUUUGUUUCACUUUUUGUUGUUUUACUUUUUUAUUCCUUUUUGGAAUAAAUGUAGCCAGGUGGAAGAUCAAUAUUAUGGGACAUACCACUGGAGGGCGCUGUUUCUUUUGGGGUACCUCUUGGAGCGCAAGGGAUGAUGGGGAUCGGAGACAUUCACAGAAGUGCUAGCUUGCAUUGGUGUUAUGUCGGUGUGCAAUGCCGUUUUUCGCUGCGUGGUCUGUUUUAAAUGCAAAGUGUGGAACAGUUAAGACACCAGGAGUUGCUGCAACCAACUUCACCGUUCAUCUCAGAGGGAUCUGUAUUCCGUUUUCUGCUGGAUUAAUGCACUGUAUGUAUUUGAGUUCACACUCGUAUUAUAAUAUCUCUGUGGGUAAGAGAGAAAAUGUACCUUGUUAACUGUUUAAUCUUGGCUCUGUGUCUUAGCAGGAGAAGCCACUACAGUUAUUUUUGCACUGCUAAGUUUGUUGUAUUUCUGUAUGGGUUUAUGUCAGUCACAAAUUGACGCUAGACAUCCCUGAGUUCCAGACGCUGAUAAAGUUGGGGAAAUAACCUGCAGUAGCAGUAGGUUACCAGUGCACAAAGCUGUUACUGGAUAAGAACUGUCUGUAACAAUUUUAUUUCUUUAUUUUUACAACCUUUUUUUAUUUUCUUCUGAGCACUUACUUUAUCAUUCAGAUUAAAAGAACCCCAAAGAUAAUCUGUGUUCUGGGCUGGUUAAUUUAGCCAGGCUACAUAAAAGUUA